UACGUAGGGUGCGAGCGUUAAUCGGAAUUACUGGGCGUAAAGCGUGCGCAGGCGGCGCGUUAAGACAGGUGUGAAAGCCCCGAGCUUAACUCGGGAAUUGCGCUUGUGACUGGCGGGCUGGAGUGUGGCAGAGGGAGGUGGAAUUCCACGUGUAGCAGUGAAAUGCGUAGAGAUGUGGAGGAACACCGAUGGCGAAGGCAGCCUCCUGGGCCAGCACUGACGCUCAUGCACGAAAGCGUGGGGAGCAAACAGG
rnacentral:rRNA from 1 species